AUAGACUCAAUGUAUUAAACACUAAGCAGAUGAGCUGUAGUGCUACAUCAUAUUCAUAUUCAUAACUAUAUAAUCAACUUCAAAAGUUCAAAUACAGAUCUAGCCAUCAAAAAGAAGAAGAGUAGGAACAAGUUGUGGUGAAUUCAUCUGGUUAGUUGCAAGGUCGUUUACACCUCCACCACCAUCUGAUACUACUGCUGCUGGUCCAUUCUGCUUUGCUGAUGCAACCUGAUAAGGGAAUUUGAUCUCGAUGUACUAAAAUACCAUAUGAGGAGGAGGCACAAAGGAGUGGAACAUCUUAACGACCUUGUAACUAACCAGAUGGGUUCGCCUCCACUUACAACAGAAGGCACUUGGUGAACUUUAUCAAAAAAGAUUUGGGUAUAGUAAGUCUUCUCUAUUAUUAUUAUUAUUGAUUUUAUGACCAUAAAUGUCUUUGAUUCACUUAAACCAUCUAGGGUCAUAACUUUCACAACACAAAUGUGUGUGUGUUUGUGUGUGCGUCAACACAUAGAUGACCCAUGGUCUGGAGCAUUUGGCAGUGUAAAACUGAUAGCAACUCAUAUUCACUGUUGUCCCACCUAGGUCACUCCCGGACUCUAUUUUAGCAAUUCAACAAAUCAAAUUUAGAUUUGGUUACAGUAGUGUGAAGUUUAGCUAACUUUGUGACUGGGGCAUAUAUGACAUCAUAGUGGUAACAUAGAAGCUCUUAAAAGAACCACAUGAAACUAAGACAUCAACUGGCUUGUACUUGUGAAUGUGUUUUAUCGACUUCAGACCGCUGAGGGCUUUUUUUUAUUGCAUGUCACCCUUUUGGUACAUGUAAUCCAUUAUCCAUGUAUAUAGAAGCAAAAAAAAAAAACCCGUUUUGGGUAUAAAAUCAAAAAAGUCACUAACAUCUGUCAAGAUCGAGACGUUAAGGUUGAACCUCUUAACACAAGUUUGAGUUUUCUAGGUGGAAUAAUGUUGAAACUCAGUUACUAUGUAGGGAGUUUUCCGUAAAUGAAUUUGAGGAAAGUUUCCAGGCCCCUCGCGAGCAAGAGACCAUCGACCUUCUAGAUGUUACUGCAGAACUCAACAUAACUAGCUUUUCAAGUACUAACAAAGCAUAUAGCAUCUACCCAGUAUUUUUAUGGGAAAGACUAUCAACAGCAAAUAGUUUUAAUUAUUUUGGUGCGAAUCCCGUUCAGCUUGGACUAGAUGCUACAAAAAUAUAUUCAGCCAAUUUCCUGGCACUGAGCAGCCGAUAAGGCAUGUGGUUUCCAUGUUGUCUUAUAUUGUGUUCUGGAUUUUCAGGCUGUUUUUACUGUCUAUUUCAACAGUAUACACCUCUGCAAAACUGAGGUACCUUAAAGUGUAUGACCUUUUUUAGGUAAGUGUUCUGUAUCUAGUUUCCAGGGUACCAUUAUUAGUCUAGUGGUAAAUACUCGCGAUUCAACCAGUGGAGAAAAGAUGAAAACAAUCGACGGGGGAAUUAUAAUUUAGUUGUGAAGCUGAAAUUGUUUCAUUUUAGGAUAGCGUUCAAUAUAUUCGUAUACGUACUAAAAUGAAAAAGUCAAACUAGAAGCAUACCUCUUCUUGGAGGGUUGAUAGGUACUCCGUCAUCAACUGCGUCUGCAUCAAACAUAAUUACAGCCAAAUUAGGAACUGCUAAGAAGUAACUGAUUCUGAUAUAGCCAGAUGCCAUCUUAUAGGAGCUCUGCACAUUCUAAUGAUAGAUAUCACAUCACACAAAUAACGAAAGUUGUAGUAAUUGGUUCCUACAAUCAUUAGACAUAGCAUUCACAAUCGAACUUAUCUGGAAACACAAAAUCAAUUCUUUGUAAGGCAUCUUGCACUCGUAAAUUAUUAUAAACAUAGGAUCUUUCAGAAGUGGAUGACAGUGUGUGUUUGAAGUAAAUCUCGGUCACACUGCUUUAUCCAGAGUGCCACUGUGCCACUAGUUCUAUAACCAAUGAAUUUAUGCUGGGAUGGUGACAAUUCAUAGUUGAUUAUCAUAUUGACAUUAAGAGUGUUGACACAGGUAUCUUACAAAAAAUACCUAAGGCUGAAGGAAGUGAGGCUGCUAUCCCGGCGGCUCCGCCCCUAAUCACCGGCUAGCAGCCGGGAACACUAUCCCCACCAGGCCGCUUAAACUUUGGGCGCUCUCUCUCUCUCUCUCUCUCUCUCUCCCAUGUCUCUUUCUUAUAUAAAUUUUUAUUUAAAUAUUAUCCCUAUCCAAUCAUCAUAAGCCACUUGUCGAAAGUCAAUGAUUGGAAGAUGCCUCAUGGGAGGCCAUACCACUCCCACUAAAUUUGGUUAGGCUACCCAUGGCAUCUUCUCAUGCCGCAUGGCAGCCCACAUGCAAGUAGCCUAAGAGGAGGUCAUACCACUCCAUUAGCCUAAACAUCUGUGUCAAAGUUAAAGUGUUGUACAUGCAACUAAUAUUUGGUAUGAGUUUUCAUACAGCUGCUUUCACACCUUGGGAAAACCCGUUUGUUGUAUCUCAAACAUCACCUGCAUGUACCUGGCCUGCCAGAGUGUCAACCUCACUCGAUAAUUGCUUCAACAGUUCUGGUACUUAAAAACCUGUAAAAGUUAGGACUCGAAUUUGAUCUCUAGUAUGUAUGGUCAUAAAUUCUUCUAAUUCCAACCAUGUAGAUAGUAGGAUCUUGAUAUUCCAUUUUAGUACUUAUCAUCCACUCACGGUUGGCUCCUAUUUCUUAUAUGUGCCGACUCAUAUUGAUUUUUACAGCUAUAUGUUUCUAUUUU